rnacentral:rRNA from 1 species
UAAGGAAUAUUGGACAAUGGAGGCAACUCUGAUCCAGCCAUGCCGCGUGAAGGAAUAAGGCCCUAUGGGUUGUAAACUUCUUUUAGACGGGACAAAACCCCUUUACGUGUAAAGGGUUGAUGGUACUGUCAGAAUAAGCAUCGGCUAACUUCGUGCCAGCAGCCGCGGUAAUACGAAGGAUGCAAGCGUUGUCCGGAAUUAUUGGGUUUAAAGGGUGCGUAGGCGGACUAAUAAGUCAGUGGUGAAAGCCUGCAGCUUAACUGCAGAAUUGCCAUUGAUACUGUCAGUCUUGAGUACAGUUGAGGUAGGCGGAAUGUGUCAUGUAGCGGUGAAAUGCUUAGAUAUGACACAGAACACCUAUUGCGAAGGCAGCUUGCUAAGCUGUAACUGACGCUGAGGCACGGAAGCGUGGGGA